AGGAUGAACGCUGGCGGCGUGCCUAACACAUGCAAGUCGAACGUCCUGUCUCGCAAGAGGCAGGGAGUGGCGGACGGGUGAGUACCACGUGGGUUAUCUACCGUGAGGUGAGGAAUACCGGCGAGAAAUCGCCGACAAGACCGCAUAGCCUCGGUGCAAGCCGAGGAAAGCUUUCUCGAGAGAGGGAGCGCCACACGAGGAGCCUGCGCCCGAUUAGCUAGCUGGUGGAGUAACGGUUCACCAGGGCGACGAUCGGUAGCUGGUCUGAGAGGACGAUCAGCCACACUGGGAUUGAGAACGGCCCAGACUCCUACGGGGGGCAGCAGUGAGGAAUUUUCGUCAAUGGGGGCAACCCUGAACGAGCAACGCCGCGUGCAGGAAGAAGGUUUUCGGAUCGUAAACUGCUUUUCGUCGGGGAAGAGAACGGACGGUACCCGAGGAAUCGACGCCCCGGCUAACUACGCGCCAGCAGCCGCGGUAA
rnacentral:rRNA from 1 species